UACGUAGGCAGCAAGCGUUAUCCGGAAUGAUUGGGCGUAAAGCGUCUGUAGGUGGCUUUUUAAGUCCGCCGUCAAAUCCCAGGGCUCAACUCUGGACAGGCGGUGGAAACUACCAAGCUGGAGUACGGUAGGGGCAGAGGGAAUUUCCGGUGGAGCGGUGAAAUGCGUAGAGAUCGGAAAGAACACCAAUGGCGAAGACACUCUGCUGGGCCGACACUGACACUGAGAGACGAAAGCUAGGGGAGCGAAUGGG
rnacentral:rRNA from 1 species